AACCAAAGAAGGGCUCAAGGAUUGUAUAUCCCGUGAUCUAGCCCUAGAAGCAGGGUGGGGCUGACAGUCCCCAGCACAGACAGACUGAGCUCCGCCUGCCUGUCGGGUUAAGGGUUCAGAGCUGGAGCGUCCUCGGACGCCUUUCCGCUCUCCCCUGGGCUCUUCCUGCCACCCGCUGGCCACGCCCUUCGCCGACAUCCUCUGGUCAUGGCGGCGCGGCUGUGUGCGCGGUGCCUCCCUCCGGCGUGGCUCUGCAGGCAAGCCGGGCAGGGUCAAAGCCGGCACUACCGAGCUGCAGUCUGCACCGAGUUGAAGCAGCCCCUGACCAUUCAAGAGGUGGCUCCUCGCCCUAUCGGGCCACAGGAGGUCAGAGUCGAUGUUCAUUUCUGUGGCAUUAACUUUGCUGAUAAUUUGGUCUGUCGUGGUCAGUAUCAGGAAAAGCCUCCUCUUCCCUUUACACCUGGAAUGGAGUUUUCUGGGGUUGUCUUAGAGGCAGGAGCAGAUGUCAGCACCGUGAAAAAGGGAGAUCGUGUUAUUGGAGUGAGUAACUUCCACUCGAUGGCCGAACAAUGCAUCACUGACCAGAAGACCCUGUGGCGGAUUCCAGAAAACGUCUCUUUGCAAGAUGCUGCGGUCCUACCAGUAUCUUAUGGCACAGCUAUUUUGGCUGUAGAUCAUCGGGCCCGUAUCCAGCCUGGAGAGACUGUUUUAGUGACAGCAGCUGCCGGAGCCACAGGCCUCGCAGUGAUAGACGUGGCGACAAACGUAUUCUGUGCCAAGGUCAUAGCUGCAGCUGGGAGCGACGAGAAAUGCAAGCUGGCGAUGCAGAGGGGAGCACAGUCCGGCGUGAACUACAGCCAGGGCAGCCUGAAGGAUGCAGUGAAGAAGCUGGUGGGCAGCAGUGGGGUGAAUGUGGCCAUUGACAUGGUGGGAGGAGAUGUCUUCCUGGACUCUCUCCGCAGCCUGGCGUGGGAGGGCAGGAUUGUGGUGUUGGGAUUCGCCGGAGGAAACAUCGCAUCCGUGCCCAGCAACCUGUUGCUCCUGAAGAACAUCUCUGCCAUGGGCCUGUACUGGGGUCGCUACCAACACCAGGACUUUGCAGUGUUUUCCAAGAGCAUGUCCACAGCCCUGCAGUACUGCCAGCAAGGGCUCAUCCACCCACACACUGGUGCUGUCUUCAAGCUGGAGAAGGUCAAUGAUGCCUUCCUUCAUGUGAUGCAGCGCAAAUCCACGGGCAAGGUGCUCCUGUCCCUCAAGUAAAUCCUGACCUGGGUAGAUUCCCAAGUCUGAUCUCCCUCACCAGUUUUAAAGGGCUCAUCCUUAGUGACCCAAGUGCCACGUCUUGGUGUCAGUUCCCUUUGCUUCCGCUUUCUUGGUGCCCAUAAUCAGUGUGACCACAGAGGUUCUUGCCUAAACUCAACCCUAUCUGUGAGCAAAAGGUACUGUGAGUUCCUUGAGAAGUAGGUACUGUGUCUGGAUCACCUGCUGACUUCCUAUACCUUCUGCUAUUCAAUUUAAUUUAUCUGGAAUCUUAAAUUGUGGGAUUAAAUGAAGAACAUGUUGCCCUGGAAACAACCCCAAUGCCCUUUGACGGGUGAAUAUAUAAAUAUGCACACUUUGCAUAGGUAUUGUAUAAUGUGCAUACAUCAGAAUAUUUUUAGCCUUAAAGAGGAACAUCAUUCACAGACAUGCUACAAUAUGUAUCAACUUUAAGGCCAUUCUACAUGAAAUAGAACAUAUUAAAAAAAGAAAAUGACAUGUGCUCUGUAAGUCCACUUAUAUCAGAUUCUGUCACCCAUCAAGUUCAACAAGAGAUAAAGGGGAAUGGUGGUCACAGGGGCCCCCUUGGAGUAUAUCCUGGUAAAUGUGACACCCCUUUGCGGGGAGAUAGGGAGUUACUUAAGUCAUGUGGAGUUUCAAGAUGGGAAGAUGGAAAAUCAGUGGAAAUGGGUGGCAGUCGUGAAUGCCAUAACGAACUACUGAAGUAUGCACAUUCAAUUGUUUUAAACAGCUUUCAAUGACUUCUCGAUUCUUCCUCAGAUACUGGCUGCUGCAGAAAUCACUCCCAUGGCCCUGCCUCUCCUUUCAGCAAUGGUCUCCUGGUCCACUUGCACAUGUCUCUUUCUCCAAACUGGUGUAAAAGGCUGGGGUGGGGGGUAUAGCUCCAUGGCAGAGCAAUUGCUUGGCACUUGUCAGAUCUUGGGUUCAAUCCCCAACACUGACUCCCACAAACGGUCAGCAACCAAAGUGAAGUUUUCUGCUCUGAGCCAAGGAUUGUUGCUAUCUGCUUCCGACAAGUGUGCUCGGUAAUAUUCCCUCCUAUGCACAUGUGUGAGGCUAGAAAACAAUCUAUGAUCUAUGAUAAAGAUAACAAAUAUGUUGUUAACAAGUGAAGGACUAGAGAUGUCUUCAUCCACUCGCCUAGAUUUCAUUUUAAAAAGUUUAUUAAACUAGGGGAAAAAUAGGCUAUUCCUUCUUACAUUUUCCUUCUAGGAUUAUAUAAGGGAAUCAAAUAAAAGUGAUUUUUUUCAAAGUCCUCUUUGUGCUGGAUUCUGAUUUUUCCAGUUCUUUUUUAUCUCAGAGCAUUAUUGCUUCGAUGCUGGCCUGCAUGGGACACACACUGCUUUCUGGAGCUCUCUCAUUGCUGGGGAAUCAAGUACGAAGUACUGAGCACAGGAAGGACUGUGGUGGACAGAAGCUACAAAUCUCGGCAAGGAGAUAGCUAAGUAAAGCACAGCAAAAAAACCCAAGCCAGAUGUGGUACUCUUGGAAGGCAGAAACAGGAUGAUCAUCCCAAGUUCGAGACCAACCUGGUCUAUAGAACGAGACUCUGUGUCAAGCAAACAAAAGAAAACACAACAAAGCUAACCUGGAGUCAGGUGAGGUAAAAUGGGGGCAGGGUCGGUGAGCAUGGCGAGAUGGUUCUAGAAAUAGAGACCAGGGCACAUAUUGGUUUGAAGGCAAUUGAUGAGGACUUUGACUUUGCGGUAAGAGCAAUGGGAGGCCCAUGAAGUAUUUUAGCAGGAAUUGGAUGUGAUCAGAAUAGCCUUUUAGAUUUCCACCAUCUAUUGGGGGGUGGGUGAAGGGAGCAGAUCAGGGAUGAGUGUAGAGCUGUGCAGGGGCUGAAGGUGAAGGGACUUGUCCUUGGAUUGGAUAUAGGUACAGAAUGGAGGAAAACGUGUCAAGGUGACACCAACUUUCUGGACAUACAUUUCACCAUGAAAGAGUUGGGUUUUGGCAACAGAGCGGGGCAUAAUUAAAGAGACGGAGUUCUUUACAUAUUGAGAUCUCCAAGAGUGUUACGUAUCUGCUCUGAAGAGAGGCAUGUGGGAGUCUUUUGCCUGUAGGUGGUUGAGAUGGUGUGGUUGAGAUGGCCCUGUCAUGUGAGAAAGGGGGAGUGUGUAGACUCUGAGGACCUUUUGAAGACCCCUGACAGAAGCUGUAGAGGGACAGCUUGGGAUUUAAAAUGAGUGACAAGCAGUUAUAAGGAAGGUUGCUCCAUGCAGUGACUGAAGCACCAUCUCCUGCAGGGAGGGCCAGGGGCUGGAGCUCUAGCCCCAGCUCUUUGAUCUUGGGCUAGACUCAUCUUCCCUUUCGCCUGUAAGGAUAAUGGUAUGUAUUCUUCUGCAUCUUGUGGUUCAGGUGAGGGUCAGAGGAGAUGCUGUAGGGAAAGGGCUUUGCAAACUGCCUUGUAUCUGUGUGUUUAACUUCACUUCAGAAUCAAAGGAAAAGGCAUGCCUUUUCAGCAUAUGUUGAAUUGACAUGGAGCAAAGGGACUGUUUGAUUUUUUUUAAAAAAUGUCUCUAAAAAGGCUUUUUACAUUGUAGCUGAAGUCAUUGUGCCCCUUUAUACAGAAUAAUAGACAAAGUGAUGGGGGCUGGUGAUUUGAUGUACUUCAAAGAUACCCAGAGCCAGUCAAGGUCUACAGAAGGACAUCUCACUUGAUCAAGAGUGCAAAAAGCAUAUUUUUAAAAAGGAAGGGGUGAUAAAAAGAAUUAGGGCUCUUCAUUCUGGAAAGCCACAGGCUAAGAAAAGAGCAUGAUUGAAAUUUAUGAAAUAAUGAAAAUCAUAGGAUAAAAAUAUGAACUUAUUAAGUCCCAGUGGAUAAAACUAAGAAGACAAAAUUUUUUUUAAAAAUCAUUUUAAAGAAAUAGUUUUAGGGCAAAGUAAAAAUAGUAGUUCUUUUUACCCAGGAAUGGUGAGCGCAAAGAUCUUAUUACUCUCAAAGUUUGCCAGGACUCAAAUCAAAUCAAAGAGAGAUUUACAAUAUUACAGGUCAGAUUCAUGGGGGAAUCAUAAAAGUAACCUAAAAUAAUGUGGUAAAAUUGCCCGUGUCUUGAAGGAAAAAGUCAUGGGGAUUGGGUGGCCAUUAGGCUUCCUGUCUCUGUCUGAUUCAAAGAAGGAUUCUAAGUGGGCAUGCUGAGAAUAGCAGGUACAGAGAAAAUAAGAGAGCCUACUUGCAAAUAUGACCUCCCUGACCUUCUGGAGUCACUUCUUAAUUUAACUUGGUUUUUUUUUUUUUUUAAUUUUCACAUGUGUGUGUGCAGGCGUGCAUGUGCAUGCACAGAUGUGCACAUGCAUGUGAAGACCAGAGGUCAACUGUGGGGGUCCUUUGCGAGCUAUCUGCCUUGAUUUUUGAGACAGGCUGUCUCUGGGAUCUCGGCCCUUCUGAUUAGGCUAGACUGGUUGACCAGUGAGCCUAUGGACCCACCUGUGUCUGCCUCCUCUGUGACCCUGUGGGGACCCUGGCCCUAGGCCCCAUGUCAGGACGGCUCACCCAUCACUUCUUACUCCACAGUUUCCUUUUCAGACGACAAACUUUCUGACUUAAGCUCUAUCUCCUCUUUUAGAGGUUCUUUUUAAAAUGUUAAAAAUAUCCACAAGGAGAGCCUGCAGUGCUCCCCUUCACUGACCCAGAUAGUUUAAGAGCAGGUAUUUUAAGAGACUGGCAGCGGCUUCUCAUCUGGGGACACAGGCUGGCUUCAGGAGCCAAGGAACUCAAUGCAAUAAUAAAAUAUUAAUCCUAUUUCCCGUAUGCGAAGCGCUCCUCUUGUGCUCUCUUCUUCCCUAAUCCCCCCUUAUCCUUCAGGGUAAAGUAGGAGAAGCUCUGGAUUUCAGGGCAAGAGUCUCCUGAGUUAAGAGUUACCUGAUCUUGGGUGAAUCACUUCACACCUGUGAAUCUUGGUUUUCCCAUCCAUAAAACAGAGACGCUAGAGUCUCACAGUGAGGGGGCCAAGGGACAUUGCCUAGACAAGUUGGUUGGUAGAGAAGGACCCAAAGAAGUACCAAACUCCAGAUAAUCCAAUUGGAUAACCAUGGGGUCAAUAAUCUCUAUUUUUGAGCUUCUAUAUUGGUCUAUCUACAUAAUACAGAUGGGUUUUUAUUUUAGUCUGAUUUUUUGAGACAGGGUCUCUCUGUGGAGCCCUGGCUGGCCUCGAACUCAUAGAGACCCACCAGCCUCUGCCUCCAGAGGGCUGGAACUAAGAGACUGAGCCACCAUGGCCAGCUGCAGUUGAACUUUUGAUAUUGGCUGUAAUUUGCUCACAUUCCCAUCUGGUACAUAAAUUCCUUGCAGGCUGGGGCUGUGCAUUUUUUCUUUUUUUUCUAUGUCAGUGUUGCAAGAAUGGGUACUUAAUCCCUGGUAAUUGGUUGCUGGAGCCCAUUGCCAUAACUUUAAUUUUUUAAUCUUAUUUUUAACGAUGGUUCUUAAAUGCUUUAACUUCUCUUGUAGUCCACCACCAACAGAGGCAGUGGAAAAGAAAGGAUAGAGGGGAAGUGGACUUGUUUAGAAAGGUUUUUUUGGAGUUGGCAGUUCAGUUUACAGGUUAGCAGGCAGUGGCAGCUUGAUCCACUCACAAACACGUCACCGAUAUGCCAGCAGUUCAGUUCAGUAGAGUUAGGCUAGCAACAACGGUGACAUCACCUAGUAGAGACAGCCUCGGUUCGAGUCAGCAGGAGAGACCAAUAGGAACACCAGGAGAAGUUCUUCUGUACCUCCCUCAGGGAAGCAAAGAGACUCACAAGCAUUGCACAGCUAGCUGUACCAGCAAGCCAAGCUCUCUCCCUCUGUUGAGUCCUAUUUAUGCCCUCCAAACGUCACGGGUCCUCCAUGCCUUGCCUCUGCACAGGUCUUGCCUUAGCAUGGGUCUUGUCUCAGCAUGUGUAUUCAAUCAGCUCAAGUCUGCUGAGUCUGGACAAAUGGAGCUCGACGACACAAUGUAAAGCAGACUGAUACAUGCAUGUUAGCAAAGAAUCAUUUAUCAUGUGUUCUUUCACAUGUUUGUUUUAGCAGAACGUCCUCUCUCCUGUGUCUGCUUUAACUAAGCUUUUCUUUAUGAGUCUUAGUUUUUUACCUGUGUCCACUUCAAGAAAAUACUCUUUCAUGUGUUUGCCCCAGCAAAACACCAUCCAGCACAACUGACUCUACAAAGAACCCUUAAGUUUCUACUUUACAUUGCCCAUUUAACUAAACUUGGGAUUUGUCCACAACACAGGCCAUUUCCUCUGCCUUUAACUCUCCAUGUGCACUGACUAUGCUCUGCUAAUGGGCAGAUAGCGGGAGUCCUUUAAGACUCUCAUUACCUUGUCAAUUCGUGGCUUCACAUCAAAUAUGAGCUCUUUGUGUAUUUGAAGAUAUCGCUGACCUGCCCUGAAUGGGAACUUUAAAUUGAUUCUAUGGAUGGGUUUUCCCUGAAUCGGCCAUUCUUUCCCUCAGGCGUGUUUAAGGACCCCUGCUCCCACCCCCAUGCUUCCCUUCUAGAUCACUCUUUCCUCUGCUUGGCAAAGGAGUCCACUGCUGACCCUCUUCUAGCUGUGGGGGCAGAGAGAUUUCACUGUGGCCCUAGGAGCCCGUGUUCUUCUCGUAUGAAUGAUCCUAACUGCCUCUAAGUCAUGAACCCUUUGUUGAAUUGUUCCAUACAAAGAAUAUGUGGACGUUGUAGGACUCUAUAACCUGUGAAUAUAACAUUAUUUUGGACAUGUAUAUUUGCAUCUAUAAUCCAGUAAAGAUUAGGUAUUCUAGGGAAAGAGACGUUUAUGCAGUAAUGGUUCAGAUGUAUUCCAUAGCCUCAUAUGUCUGAGUUUGAAGUCCUCAGGGGGCAGCACUGUUUUGUGAGGUUGUGAAACCUCUUUGGAUAUGGGACCUUGCUAAUGGAGAUAGGGCCAUAGGAACAGAUUUUAAGGACAAUGGUCCAACCUUGCUUCUGGUCUAGCCUUUUCUGUUUCCCAGUUAGCCACCACUAGAGAUGUGAGGGGACCACCUCAUGUCCCCACUGCCAUAAACACUGCCACCUAUGUCUGUGUCAGGUAUUUUGUCUCAUUGAUGAGAAAAGUAAUUAAUACACACACAUGCAUGCACAUAUGCUCAUACAGAAUGCUCAUAGAGCGAAGAUUGCCACAUGAAGACAGAGACAGAAAGUGGAGUGUUGCAGCCAUGAACCAAAAACAGUCAGGAUGGUUGGAAGCCAGCCGGCAUGGAGAAUAGGCAAGGUUAACGUUUGGUUUUGAACUUCUGGCUCUGGAACAAUGAGAAAAUCAGUUCUUACAGUUUCACGUCUCUGUGUUUAUGGUACUUUGUUUAUGGAAGCUGUAGGAAAUUAACAUGCUGCCUAGGAUUCUAAAUAAAACACAACCAUGCUUCACAUAACAUCCUCCAGCCCACAGUGGACCACAGAUGUCAGAGUCGUCCUGUAAUAUUGGAGCAGAAUUGAAAGUUUCUGCCUAGUGACUUUGUGGCCAGGGAAUGAUCAUCAUAGUAUGACGCGUCACUCACAUGCUCGUGGUGAUGAUGGUUUAAACAAGCCCAUUGUGAUGUCAGCUGAAUAGCGUACAGCAUACAACAGUCAUACAGGCCAAUGACACAUGACUGCUUCUGGUUCAUGUCAGUCCACCACACGUACUUCUUAGUGUUAUGCUAGGAUAGAGUUUUCUGUAAACAGUAGGCAGCAGCCUCCUACCAGACAUCUCAGGCUUUACCACAACUCUUGAUUGCGGCAGAAACCGCAGUGAGUGACUUACACAAUGUAGGUUUGAGUGUUUGCUCUUUGGUGUCUGCGUGGUCACUGUCACUUCACAAGGCACAUUUCAGGAUGUAGCCUUGUCAUAAAGUGACAUGUGACUGUGUCUACACAAGGGAGAAAUACAAUUGAUUAUCCCUGUCUCCAGAAGGGCUAUAGUCACAAUCCUGCCAUGCUUUAUUGGUGAUCACCUAAGUAAAAGACUUCAAGCCUCUGAUUCCUACACAAUUCUGUGUGUAUCUUCUGUGUAUGUAUUGGGCAUGUGUGGUUUAUGCACUGGUGUAUGUGUGUAUAUACAUGUAGAGGCCAGAGACUAACAUCCUGUGUCUUCUUUGAUUGCUCUCUUCCUUAAUUUUUAAAGGUUUAUUUAUUUUAUUUUAUGUGUAUGAGUAUUUUGCCAGCAUCUAUGGAUGUGCACAAUGUGUGCCUGGUGUCUGUGGAGGUCAGAGGAAGUACCUGGUUCUCUGGAAUAGAGUUUCAGAUGGUUGUGAGCCAUCAUGUGGAUGCUGGGAAUGGAAGCUGGGUCCUCUGUAAGUAAGCAUUUCAACUGCUGAGCCGUCUCCAGCCCUGUCCACCUUUCCUUUCUUUUUUCUCUUUUUUUCCUCCCCCUCUCCCUCCCUUCUCUCCCUCCCUCCUUUCCCCUCCCUAUUCUCUCUCUUUCUUUCUUUUUUUGAGACAUAUCCUCACAUUGACCUCACUAUCCAGCUAUGCUGACCAGCUAGCAAGUGUCAGCCUGUAUCUUUCCUUCCCAGCCAACUCUGCUGGGGCUCUCAGAUCUCCAACCUGCUUAGUUCCUAGUCAUCUUUUCUCCCACCCACACUGUCGUACUCACACAUUUGUGACACACACACACUGUCACAUUCACAUACUGCCAUACUCACAUACUGUUACACUCACACUGUUAUACUCACACGGGUCACACUCACACACUGUUGUACACACUCUGACAUCAUACACCAUGACACUCACACACUGUGACACUCACACACUGUCAUACUCACACCAUUGCAGUCAUACACAGUCACACUCAUACACUGUCACAGUCUCAUAUUGUUAUACUGUAACACUCAUACACUGUCACACUCAGACACUAUCACACUGUUACACUCACACAUGGUCACACACACUGUCAUACACACUGUGACACUCACACACUAUGACAUUCAUACACUUUGACACUCACACACUGUCACAUUCACAUACUGUCACACUCACACACUAUGACACACACUAUGACACUCAUACACUGUCAUAUACAUUGUGACACACACACUGUCACAGUCAUGCACUGUCACACACUGUGACACUUACACACUAUGACACACACUGUCAUAAUCACACACUGUCACACACAUUGUUACACUCACACACUGUCACACUCACAUACUCUCACACUCACACACUGUCACACACAUACUGUCACAAUCACACACCGUCAUACACACUGUCACAUUCAUACUGUUACACACACACACUGUGACACUCACACACUGUCACAGUCAUGUACUGUCACACAUACUGUUAAACUCUAUCACACUCACACACUGUUAUACUCACACACUGUCACACACUGUGACACACACUGUACACUCACACUAUCACACUCACAAUCACACACACUGUUACACUCACAUACUGUCACACACAUUAUUAUACUUGUACACUGUCACACUCACACACUGUUGCACUCGUGCACUGUCGCAGUCACACAUUGUCACAAUCAUACUCUAGAGAUGACCCAGAGCUCCAGCUGAUCCUCUCUCUGCACCUACGUCGCUGUCCCAUUCUUUGAGGGGCUGCUUUACAACUUGUGGCUACCAAACAACUCCCUCUGCUGUCUCUGGGCUUCUCACUCCACCAUGGUGAUAACUCCACGCCAUUUCCAGACAUUUGCACUCACUGUCACUCUCUGUGGACACUUCCACCCAUUCAUCACCAUGGAAACCCCUCACGGGCUACAUCUCCCCUAGGAGAAGUAUUCUCUGAGGCUUUUACCCAAGGGAGGCUGGCAACCCCGCCCUGGCCGUGGCUCUUCUGACUCUUCCUCACAGUCUUUUAACACUCUCAUCAUCUGACAUUCGAUGAUCAUUUUUACUCAUUUACUUUUUUGUAGUCGGGGUUCCUAUCUCCUUCUAUAGCGAAUAGGUUCUGCAAGGGCUUCCCAUCGGUCUGCCUGGUUCAUCUCUCCAGGCUCAAUACCAGCACAGUGCCUGGCACACAAAAAGACUUCAGGGAGCCCGUGGAAAACAGGGGAACGAAUCUAUGAGCUGUAGUUUUGAGCUGUUAGCUAGAAGUCAUUGAGGUUUCCAGUUCUUGAUCUUUACUGGACCUGGAUUUGAAAUCUGGUUCUCUGCUGGCUAGCUGUGGGACUUUGAACCAAGCACUUAGCUUCUGAGUGAAGAUCGUGUUUUCUUUUCUCACCUGUCAUAGAGAAGACAGACAACACAGCACUGCUGGAUUGAUGACAUAAACCUGUAUAGAAAAUAUAGCACAGAGCUGUCCACACUAAACAUUAGAUAAACACUAAGUAACCUAAUACUAUGUGACAGGCAUGAGCCACAGACGGCAACAGGUUUCUGAGUGUUUUGCCUGAAGUUACUCAAGUAUAUUUCACAGUACCUCUUGGGGUGGCUAUUGUUAACCCCAUUUAAUAGAUAAGAAAACUGAGGCUCAGAGAGACCCAGUGAUUUAGUUAAAUGGAAUUGGAGAGUGGUAGUCAGAGUCAGGCACCCUGCCUAGUCACAUGUCUUCACAGCUACACAGGGCCACCACACUUGCUGCCUCGACUCUAAACCUGGGCUUCUCACAUACCAUUGCUCCCAGGGAGGUCAGGACUUUUAUUCACCACUUGCCUCAGUGUCAUGGAUAAAUGUGAGAAUUUUUAAUACAUUAUAAACUAGGAACUUACACUAGGGGAUAGAGUUUAGAGUUCUUUUUGAGGAGAAAUGUUUAUUUUUAUUUUCUGUUGUGAGUUUUAUUUCAGACUGCUCAAGAUGCUGGCAAACACAUGGGCAAGCAGCACACUCCAAAAACAUCGGCUAUAGCAUUUCCGUCUUUACUCAGUUGUUUAGCAAUAAGCGGAUAGAUUGAAUAACUUCUUCAAUUCCUCUGAGGUAUCCGAGCCAGGGAAUGCAGGGCCAUUAAUGUCUGGGUACAUCUUUGCUGCAUGUAUAUUUCCAUGGGUAUUUACUUGUAUCAUACAUGUUAUUCAGUUGAGUGGUUAUUAACAAAAUAAGAGAUAGUUGAUUGCAAGACAAGAUGCAAAUAUAAGUCAGAUUUAAGUAUUCUCUGCAUAAAUCUAAGGAAGUGUUUUUUGCAUACAAAGCGAGAAUGUGCAUGUGACAGCCAGUUUUGGUCGGGAAUUGCUAGAUCUUAAUUUAGCAAUGCCUCCACCAGGCGUUUCUUUGAUUAAUGAGUGAUAUGUGAGGGCCCACAUCACAGGGCAGUGCCAUACCUGCACAGUAACAUUCGCUUUUAAUAAUAAAAGCAAAUAUGGCUUGAUCUCAGAUCUCGAGGCCCUGAGUUUUACUGUAUGGACUUGGGCACAUUAUUUAACCUCUCUGAACCUUCAGUUCUUUCCAUCUAGAAUGAUAGGACACCUUAGUGGAUAAAUGUCACCCCCAAAUUCAUGUGUUAACAAUCCUGACAUCCUACGUGGUGACCUUAGCAGCAGGGGCAUGAUCAGGACUUGAGGGUAAAGGUUUCAUGAAUGAGAUUCAUGUGCUUUUAAAGGGGGAAAGGAGGGAGCCUUUAUCAUCCCACCAUUCCAACAUGUAUUAAGUUAUGGUUUAGACAACCAACUAGAGGAAAGUGUGCUUCAUAAAACACAGACACACACACACACACACACACACACACACACACACACACCAAAUCUGCUGGUGUCUUCACCCUGGCCUUCCCAGUCUCCAUAACUAGAUAAAAAUAAAUUUUUGUUUAUAAGCCAGUCAGCUAGGGUUAUUUUUAGGAUUUUAAAAAGAAGUAAAUCACUACUGUGAAUAAUUGUUUAUUAUUUAGUUUUACAUAAGACAAACAUAUUUAUAUUUCUUUCUGAUUACUUAGUUUUUCAUAGGGAAAAAUAAGAAAUUUACUUUCAAAUAUAGAGAGUAAAAUAAAAGUCACCUGAAAUAUCACUACUUAAAAUACCUUUUUGUUGUUUUUUGAUGUUGUUUGCUUUUUUUAAGACAACAUUUUGCUAUGUAUCCCAGGGUAGCUUUCAACUCUGGGUCCUCCUACCUCUGCUAGAAAGACAGUUGUGUGGUCACCACAUCUCACACUUAUUUGGGUUAUUUUUGUAGUUGAAAGUAACAGAACAUUAAAAAAAACCUUACAUUAUAAAUUUUUAUUAUAAAAGACUUGUAAUAAAUAUGAAUAUCACACACCAAAAUUAACUAGAUGCAAAGUAUGUGCAACCUAAUGAGUGUCUGUACGGGCUAGGAUAGGCACCCAGGAUGGGCAGAAGCUGUGAUGAUUUCUAUCAGACUCUACACUUUUAGUAUGGAGUUUAUUUUUAUGCAACCAAAGGAAAAAAAUCCACGACAGAAUUAGAACUAGAAAAAAAGUUAUAUCUAUGGCCUUCCCAGUCUCCAUAACUAGAAAAAAUAAAUUUCUGUUUAUAAGUCAGUCAGCUAGGGUUAUUUUUAGGAAUAAAAAAAGAGUAAGCUACUACUGUGAAUAAGUUAUAUUCUCUUUCAUAAUGGACACUAGUUUUUUUAAAAAAAUAAAUCUUAGAAGAAAUCUAUAACUCAUCAAUUUUCCUGAAGCUGCAGCUCUUCCUUAUGCAGGUCUGCCUUUUCUGGUCCAGCCAAUACACGCAUGUGACAUGUGCCUUCUGAGUCACACAUAUGUUUACUUGAUAUAUCGGAUACAUGGCCUUAUGGUGAUUGAACAUCUUGAAUUUUCUAAACUUUCCACAUUAGAAAUUUGUUAUUCAUUUAAUUUUGUCUAUCCACAUACUUCCUUUGACUUAUCGAUCAAUUUUUCUCAUAAAUAUAUUUUGAUCAUGUUUUUCUGCUUCCUCAAUUCCUCCCCACUUAAAAAAAAAGGUUUAUUUAUUUAUAUGAGUACAGUGUUGCAUACCACUUCUGGUGUCAGAAACACCAGAAGAGGGCAUCAGAUCUCAUUACAGAUGGUUGCGAGCCACCAUGUGAGUGCUGGGAAUUGAACUCAGGACCUCUGGGAGAGCAGUCAAUGCUCUUAACCACUGAGCCAUCUCUCCAGCCUUCCAGUUUGGUUUCAUUAAAAAAAAGGGGGGGGGGACUCUCUCCUGUGUUCUAGUUGUGAAACAUUUGUUUGUUAUUUGGUUAUUUAUCAGUAAGAACUUACAUUAUUCAGUUUCUUGCUGUUGGAAUAGAGGACGGCUUGGUUCAUGGCCUGCCAAACAUCAUUUUGAAACAGGCAUUUCCAUAAAUGAUUCUGCAGCCAUCCCUGGCAGCAUUAUUUGAAGUAGUCCGGGCUGAACACCGCUUCCAGCAUUAUCCCUGUGUCAGCCUGUGGUCUGGGGUUCCUUUUUCAUUCCUCAGAGCAGGAGGAUAUAGCUUGCUUCUGAUAAACUCCUUUCUGAAGGGGAGGGUUGUAGAGCUCAGGACUAGAUCAGUGUUUUUCAUUCUUCCUGGUGUGGCUUGUCUGUCCCAGAAAAGUCUCAGAAGGUCUUUAGCGUUUGUGAGUGUGUCUGGAACGAGAAAGAACCCACAAACACGACUGCUAGCGCCCCUCCCCACCCCCAAGCCUACUUAAGAUUCAGCAAAAGAUUCAGAAGCAUAAGGGUUCCGGCAAGCUACCACUUGCCAAUGGUUUUCACUUAAUAAAAACACCGUUAUUAUUUUUUCUUUUCCAAUUACCUAAAUAGUUUCCCCUGAGGGAGCAGAAUUGAUACACACUUAAAACUAUACAGUAAAAGAAAAAUCGUCUAGAAUCCCACUGCUUUAAGGUAUCUAGUUAGCACUUCAUGAACGGACAUUCUUUUAAGCACACACACUACUCACAAAGAGACUAUUUUAUAGAAACAGGACAUAUUAGAUGCCAUUUCGCUGGAGCCUUUGAAAAAGUAGCUUCCGUUUUGCCAAUGCUUUCCCAGAGGAAGGAAAUAUUAGCAGCUGCCACCACACACCUUUUAUGACCUUUUUCAAUGUAGGUGCACAUAACUGAUAUGUAAUUUUUACAUAAUCGUACAUAAUCGUAUAUGUGUGUAACACAGAAAAAGGGAUGAUACAAUUUUUCCAUGUCACAACUCAGAAAAUGCCAUAUAUUAAUGGGGUCAGCUCUGAAAUGUUCGUUAUUAUUAGACUUGCCUUACAACAUAGUCGUAGUAAUUUACUCAAUCAUGUCCCUAUUUUUAAGCCAAAAACUUUUCAAUAUUUUGCCAUUCUAAACUCAUUGAUUUUUUUUUUUUAAAUAUGAGUUACCAUUAAUCCUGAUACAGUUUUGAGGUGGACCGCUUACUAAGUUGCUGUCAUGAUUGCUAAGAAAGCCAGUGUGAUGUUUAGUGUCUUCUGGAAUUUCCAUGGGGGUAUUCAGAGGGCUGCGUGGUUGCCCUCUGUUCUUUGAAGUUGUGCCCCUUUUAGUGGGACCGUCUCAAUGAGGUGAUCAGAUCAUGUUUCCAGCCUCAGGAGCUGCUACUAAAUUAUUCCGUGGGGAAACUGUUGCUGAAGCAGAAAUGUUCCGUGUGGCUGACGUGGCACGGCAGCUUGCAGUGUCUGCCAGCUGUGAGUAACAGCAGGCUGUCAGGAUGGGAUGUAGCAGAAGCCGCUCCAGCAGCUCCUGAUUUUGGAGCAAAGAUAAAUCCUCUGAUUGAUUUGCUGUGAAGUUCUUCAUUUGGUGACUAAUGCAGAUGUACCGGAUGAGCCUGGCAAAAUCUCUGACCCUUUCUGGUCUUCUCUAUUGUUUCUCACAUGAACAGUCCCACGGAUGCCACUAGAGGAUGAAGGCUCUUAUUCUGGAUAUCAGUCCACUGUUGGAGGUACAGUUGGCAAGGACUUUCUUCCAUCCUGUGAGGCUGCCUCUUCACUUCACAGCUUCUUUCGCUCUAUAAAAGUUUUAAAAAUUAAAAAAAAAUCACUUUACA